ACAUGUCCUUUUGAGUUUAAUUUAAGGUCUAACCUGCCCAAUGAAAAAUUUAAAUGGCCGCAGUAUUUUGACUGUGCAAAGGUAGCAUAAUCAUUAGUUUUUUAAUUGAAAGCUUGUAUGAAGGGUUGGACGAGAUAAAAACUGUCUUAAAUUAAUUUAUUUUAGAAUUUAAUUUUUAAGUCAAAAAGCUUAAAUAAUAUUAAAAGACGAGAAGACCCUAUAGAUCUUUAUAAUUUUUAUUUUAAUUAAAUUUUAGAAUUAAUUAUUAUUUAAUUUAAAAAUUAUUAUAUUGGGGUAAUAUAAAGAUUAAAAUAAUUCUUUAUUUAUUAAUACAUUAAUUUAUGAUUAUUUGAUCCAAUAUUAUUGAUUAUAAGAUUAAGUUACCUUAGGGAUAACAGCGUAAUUUUUUUAGAGAGUUCAUAUCGAUAAAAAAGUUUGCGACCUCGAUGUUGGAUUAAAAAUUAUCCUAGGUGCAGAAGUUUAGGAUUUUGGUCUGUUCGACCAUUAAAUUUUUACAUGAUCUGAGUUCAGACCGGUGUAAGCCAGGUCGGUUUCUAUCUUUAGUUAAAAAAUAUAUUUUAGUACGAAAGGACCAAAUAUUAAAUAUAGUAUAUUUAGAUUUUUGAAUAUU
rnacentral:rRNA from 1 species